rnacentral:rRNA from 1 species
UACAGAGGGUGCGAGCGUUAAUCGGAAUUACUGGGCGUAAAGCGCGCGUAGGCGGCUUUGCAAGUCGGGUGUGAAAUCCCAGGCUUAACCUGGGAACUGCAUUCGAGACUGCAUUGCUAGAGUAUGGGAGAGGGAAGUGGAAUUUCCGGUGUAGCGGUGAAAUGCGUAGAUAUCGGAAGGAACAUCAGUGGCGAAAGCGACUUCCUGGACCAAUACUGACGCUCAUGAUGCGAAAGCCGUGGGGAGCAAAACAGGAUUGA